UACGGGGGGGGCAAGCGUUGUUCGGAAUUACUGGGCGUAAAGGGUUCGUAGGUGGCUUGCUAAGUCAGACGUGAAAUCCCUCAGCUUAACUGGGGAACUGCGUCUGAGACUGGUGAGCUUGAGUGCAGGAGAGGAACGCGGAAUUCCAGGUGUAGCGGUGAAAUGCGUAGAUAUCAGGAGGAACACCGAUGGCGAAGGCAGGUCUCUGGGCCGAUACUGACGCUGAGGAGCGAAAGCGUGGGGAGCGAACAGG
rnacentral:rRNA from 1 species